UUUACUUUAGUGUAAAGAGCACAUAAAAUUUUGAUUUUUAAAGUAGACCGCUAAGUAAUU
rnacentral:tRNA from 1 species